CUAGAAACAUACCCCUGAUUUAUUUGUCAGUUAGUUAGACUGUCAGUCAAUCAUUCAGUCAGUCCGUAAGUUACCAUCUCUUUUCUAAAUAGUCAGUUCUGAAAUAAACUACCAGGGUCCAAGACGAUCCAGUGGCAUUCUACUCUGUUCAGCUGUGUUUCUAAAUUUGCUUUGGAAUAUAAUUCAACAUCAUUUUUAAAUAUUUUAAUUCAUGUUAUUGUCAUGUGAUAAUCGUUUAUUUUCUACUGUUUUUUAUCACAUAAACUGCGGUGUUAUACAGAGAUUUCCGGCCCUGAGAAAAGUCGUAACAACACGUGUGAAAAAAGAUCGUAUUUUUUUCCACGUGUGUUGAUAUAGCCAAUCGGCUGCUGACACGUCACUCGCCUCUGGCGCCACUCGGUCAGGUUCAUGAAUGAACAGCAAGUCUUCACUAUUCUCAAUACAAGUUGUUCGUCGGAGGUUUCUCGAAUUGUUUGCGGCUAAAACACUAAAAAAUCCGUAUCGCUGACAGACAGUGAGGUUCAAAUUUUCCUAGAAGGGGAAGAAAACCAAUAUACUAAAAGAAAAACCGAAAGUUACUUAUUCAGUGGCUUUGGUGUUAGCAUUUCUCUCGGCUGAGAAUGAAAAUCGACAACUGGAAGAUUUGCCACUGACCGAUUUUGGCCGUUUACCUGAAAGACUUCUUCUAUCGGUGUACUUCAUUCUUGUGGUGUACUCAUACAUCGAGACUCCUCCUCCGGAACAAACAUCGUUACAAAUGAGUGGAAGCUCGCACCAUCAAUACGAUGCACUUGCUUGAUUCACCAGAAUCAGUCUUAGAUAUACGCAUGUGCCUGUUGUUGUAACUUUUAGAGACAACAAGACCCGACAUGUAAAUGAGGCUAAUUCAAAUGUAACCGUAAGGGUUCUUUACAAAAACGGAAAAAGGAGGAAGAAAACGUGGUCAGAUAUCAGUUAGGUAGAUCUCAACCGAAAAAAAUAGCGUUUUAUAACAUAUGUAGUAUUGGAAGAGGUAUUUACAUGCAUGAAUAAUGAAGAUUAUAUAAAA